CAAGAGCCCGCUAGUAGUCCCGCUAGAAUUUCAUUAUCCUACCUUUUCCAAUUUCAUUAUACCGCCACAAAUCAUUCAGUAACCGUCUGUUUAACCAAGGGGGCUUUCAAUAAAAAACCUAAUCUUCAUUUCAUUCCAAAUUCUUGGGAAGAAUCUAAUAGAGGGGUUCUCUUAUAAGUGAAACCCACAAUUCUGUUCUUAAUAUGAACUUGCAAUUGGGGAGCACAAAAAAUAUGGAGUCUUUUGCUACAGCUGCAGAUCACAGUGCUUAUGACCUCAUUGUCCACCCUGACCUUCAUGGUGGAUAUCUUUCUUUCACUUCACAGUAAAAGACAAUAUACAAGGUACAUUGUCUCGAUUAGGAGAUGUACCUAGUUCAUCAGAUGCAUUACAUCAACAGAGCUUUAAAUGGUGGAUUCAGAUUGCCAUUUGCAUAAUUUUUAUCCUUAACGGGGAGUCCAUAGCUUUUCUACUUGGAAGAUUUUAUUACAACAAGGGAGUCAUUUUAUUUUGGAUAAUGGAAAUCGAAAGUCGUUGAAAUUACGAUGAGGAUAUUACAAUAUUCGUAUUAGCUGCUAUUUCUUUUAUAUAUUAUAGUGUAUUGUUUCCCUAUUUAUGUAACUUCAGUUAGAGAUAUUAGGAAUGAGAUAAAUCAAUUUAUCCAACUUGAGUGUGAUCCCCCAGAGCAUAUCAUUGAUGAGAUGAGCAUAUUAGAUAUUAUGAAAUUUCUUAGUGUGCUAUGAUGUGCGCUUCUUUGUGUUUUUGUGUGUGUAGUUGUGUACCCUCAGGUACUGUUAUUAGUUGUGGACUUUAAACUUGUUAGGCUACUUGUUAAUGAAUUCUGUAAUAAAAAUUUAAUGAGUUAGUCCUUUGCAUAGAAUUCUGUUGCAAUAUUUUUUUUCCUUAUUAAUUUCAUUUUCACCAGAAUGCUAUUGUACAUGUUGACUCUGACUUCUUCUGAGUGACAUUACUGUCAUGGGUUAUCUUAGGGAUUAAACACUGUGGGUCUCUAGAGUUAUGAUGACAUGUAAAUGUCACUCCAUAACUGUGAUUAGAUGGAGUCAUAUGGAUUUGAGGUAAUAAUUUGUAAUGGUUGCCACCUUGACUUCUGACUCAAACCUUCUUAGUGAAUAUUGUUUGUUGUUUUCUGUUAUUUUGGAGUUGUCAUUUCAUUAAGCCGUAUGUCUUAUUUUUCAAACAUAGUCUGCUGCUCGAUCUUUGAAACUUAGUGGAAAUAUUUAGACGAAUUUAAGGAUCUGCUAGCCACCUGAUUGCCCAAAGUUUCUUCCAGACACUGACUACUACUUGUUGUUGUUCAAUUUCUCAAAGUCUAUCAGAGCUUUAGGAGUAUCAAAUUGCAAAACUGUGAGAUAUAGUUGGACCAUUUUAGAGCAGGCUUGGACAUUUUGCCUUCAAUUCUUUCUGAAUGCUGAUAACCGAAGCCUAGUAGAUCUGAAACAAAAAUUCUUGAUGAGUCUGCAUACAAGUCGAAGAUCUGUAAGCUCACUGAAAUUAAUAAAUCUUCAGUGUCGGUCACUAAGAAUUCCUGAUAUUAUAUCAUCUAUGAGGAUGGAGCUGCCUCACUGGACUGAGAUUGUCAAGACUAGUAAACUCAAGGAACUCGCUCCAUAGGAUCCUGACUGGUAUUACACCAGAGCUGUAGGUGCAAAUUUUUCCCUGGAAGCUUCAUUUGCUUGUCCACUUUAGUAAUCAACUUUGUUGAUCUAUGGUUCCUUUCUGUUUCAACUUUGCAUAUUUUCGUCAAGCGAACGUAGAUUUGUAAAAUAUGAAAAUGCCUAACCUCACUGUUACUUGUUAUAGCCGGAAAAGGCUGGGAUAUCUGUCUUAUUUUUAGUGUGAUAAUUUUGUUGAUCACUGUUACUUGUUCAUUUCUACGAAAGAGAUGGCAUUAUACUGAUGAAUUUACAUAUUUUUAUUGUGUUUAUUUGUGAAUGGAUAUCUUAGUGAAGAAAACAAGAGGAGAUAGUGAUUAGAUGGAUAUUGUUGUAUUUAGAUUCUGACACAUAAUCCUUUUGUAAAGAUUAGGUGACUUACGGGUUGAUUAGCACGAAACCACAGUUCACUAUGGUAACAUUAAGAAGAAAAUCUUGUAUGACUUUACCCUUAUGUCAUAUGGUUUUCCGUUCAAAAGUGAGUAUCAUUUUCUGGCAUCAACUGAUUGCAUGCACUAGAGAUUUCCUGUUUUUUGAGAAUUAUAUAGCAAUUAAACAUGACCCAUGAGAUUUUCUCAGUACUAGAUCUACUAAACAUAAAAUCUUCUCUCCCUGGUGCAUCAGUAUAGUUUUAUUUUCUGUUCCACUAUGCCACAAAACUAUUUUUUUCCAUGGAAGCUUCAUCAUUAGUUUCUUUCUAGUAAACCAGAUGAUGACUUGACUUGAGAGUUUUUGUGUUCUAAGAUUACAAAUAAACUUCAAUUACAUUAUGCGCUUUUUGUGUUGCAACUUGCAAGCGAUUUUGUGCUAGAUUUUUUCCCUUGCAUUCUGGAAGUUUCAAAGAUUUGUUUUACAAUUAAUUGAGUGGGGUUGUUUUAUAUAAUGCUUCUUGUAACUAUUUAACUGCUUGCCUGCUUGUAUACUGCAAAGCAGAUUGAUCGUUUCUUAGAUAUACCUCUACACGACCACUGCACGACCAACUCUAACGGUCCAAGGCAGACCUUAGUGAGAAUAAGUAAUCAACUUCGCCAAAUUAACCUGGUUUGACCGAGCACCAUCUCAAAGUUCUGACUGCAACCCCAAUCCAACAGAACCAGCUGCACCCAAUGUGUGAACUGAGGCAACACUGUCGCAAGCGUACAAGCAAUAAGCAACCUGUAAAGUUUACACCACCCUGCCUGCAUCCUCGGAUAAAAUACCCAAGACCAGCUAUGUGAAAAAUGGCUCAUCCAAAGGGUUAAAAUCUCUGGUCUGCUCCUGCGUGCACUUUGUUGUUUUGCACAUUAUUGUUGGCACAUUGCUGUUGUUAAAGCCUGAUGGUGGUCGUGUAUCCGAACAUCAUAUAGCAUGUGGUGCAAUCAGUUUGUACAAAGCUAUUUUAGACCAAUGUUUUGUUUUGGUUAAUAAAAGUUUAUUUAUUUAUCAAAAAAAUGAGCUUAUAGAUGAUCGGCCUUGUAAUGUACAAAUGAUACGCAAAAUUAUUUGCAGUUUCACACAUUAAUAUGUCACUACACUUUGUUUUUUUCCC